UACGGAGGGUGCGAGCGUUGUUCGGAAUCAUUGGGCGUAAAGGGCGUGUAGGUGGUCUGUUAAGUCAUGUGUGAAAGCCCUCAGCUUAACUGGGGAAGUGCGCAUGAAACUGACAGGCUAGAGUACCGAAGAGGAAGGUGGAAUUCCCGGUGUAGCGGUGAAAUGCGUAGAUAUUGGGAAGAACACCGGUGGCGAAGGCGGCGAGCUGGUCCAUUACUGACGCUGAGGCGCGACAGCGUGGGGAGCAAACAGG
rnacentral:rRNA from 1 species